rnacentral:misc_RNA from 1 species
AAGUCGUAACAAGGUAACCGUAGGUGAACCUGCGGUUGGAUCAUUAAUAAAUCUAGAAGGUCUUCAAGACCUCUCUAACAUCUUGUGAAUCGUUUAUGUCUCUGGCAGGCAGGGUGGCAACACUUUAGGCUGCCGAGUAAACUUUGUAUUUUUCUUUUGUCUAAAAAACUAUAAAAGUAAUUAAAACAACUUUUGACAACGGAUCUCUAGGCUCUC